rnacentral:rRNA from 1 species
UACGUAGGGGGCAAGCGUUGUCCGGAUUUAUUGGGCGUAAAGCGCGUGUAGGCGGCUGGGUAGGUCCGCUGUGAAAACUCGAGGCUCAACCUCGAGACGUCGGCGGAAACCAUCCAGCUAGAGUCCGGAAGAGGAGAGUGGAAUUCCUGGUGUAGCGGUGAAAUGCGCAGAUAUCAGGAAGAACACCCGUGGCGAAAGCGGCUCUCUGGGACGGUACUGACGCUGAGACGCGAAAGCGUGGGGAGCAAACAGG